UUUAUGGGAGGGAUAGAAUGCUAGUCGAGCGUCUCCAAGCUAUGGAAGAGACGCGGCACACAGCUCAGUAACACGUGGCUAACCUGCCCUUGGGACAAGGACAACCCCGGGAAACUGGGGCUAAUCCCUGAUAGGUGAGAAAUCCUGGAAUGGAUUCUCGCUCAAAAGACGUUUAGACCAUGCUUCUAGGCGUCGCCUAAGGAAGGGGCCGCGGCCGAUCAGGUUGUUGGUGAGGCAACGGCUCACCAAGCCUUUAACCGGUACGGGCCGUGAGAGCGGAAGCCCGGAGACGGGCACUGAGACAAGGGCCCAGGCCCUACGGGGCGCAGCAGUCGCGAAAACUCCGCAAUGCGCGAAAGCGUGACGGGGCUACCCCGAGUGCCGUCCGCUGAGGAUGGCUUUUCCCCGGUGUAAUGAGCCGGGGGAAUAAGGAGAGGGCAAGUCUGGUGUCAGCCGCCGCGGUAAUACCAGCUCUCCGAGUGGUAGGGAUGAUUAUUGGGCUUAAAGCGUCCGUAGCCGGCUUAGCAAGUCUCCUGUUAAAUUCAGCGACCUAAUCGUUGAGCCGCGGGAGAUACUACUAGGCUAGGAGGCGGGAGAGGUCGACGGUAUUCUCGGGGUAGGGGUGAAAUCCUAUAAUCCCGGGAGGACCACCAGUGGCGAAGGCUGUCGGCUAGCACGCGCUCGACGGUGAGGGACGAAAGCUGGGGGAGCAAACCGGAUUAGAUACCCGGGUAGUCCCAGCUGUAAACGAUGCGGGCUAGGUGUUGGGGUGGCUACGAGCCACUUCAGUGCCGCAGGGAAGCCGUUAAGUUUGCCGCCUGGGAAGUACGUACGCAAGUAUGAAACUUAAAGGAAUUGGCGGGGGAGCACCACAAGGGGCGAAGCCUGCGGUUCAAUUGGAGUCAACGCCGGA
rnacentral:rRNA from 1 species